rnacentral:rRNA from 1 species
GACGAACCGUCCGAACGUUAUUCGGAAUUACUGGGCUUAAAGGGUGCGUAGGCGGCCCGGAAAGUUGGGUGUGAAAUCCCUCGGCUCAACCGAGGAAUUGCGCCCAAAACUACAGGGCUUGAGGGAGACAGAGGUGAGCGGAACUUGCGGUGGAGCGGUGAAAUGCGUUGAUAUCGCAAGGAACACCAGGGGCGAAAGCGGCUCACUGGGUCUUUUCUGACGCUGAGGCACGAAAGCUAGUGGAGCGAACGGG